GACUCCAUGAAGCUGGAUUCGCUGUAAUCGCGCAUCUGCCACGGCGCGGUGAAUACGUUCCCGGGCCUUGUACACACCGCCCGUCAAGCCAUGGAAGCCGGGAGUGCCUGAAGUGUGCAACCGCAAGGAGCGCCCUAAGGUAAAACCGGUGACUGGGGCUAAGUCGUAACAAGGUACC
rnacentral:rRNA from 1 species